CUUUUAUUUGUCGAGCGAAAUUUAAUAAUUCUAAUACGCUUAUGCAUUAUGUAUUGUACGAGAUUGUACAAGAUUCUUAAAUAUAAAUUAGACACACUAUAUUACAAUUACUGUCGGUACAGACCAACGACAUCAAAACACAAUUCGUAAAAACGUCUAGAGAUAAAACACUGUCUUGUUAGCCAUCUACCGACUCUUGUUUGUGAUAAAUUAAACUGUUUAUGAUAAAUCUUCCACAUGAGACUACGAAAUCGAACGGAAAU